rnacentral:rRNA from 1 species
CACGUAGUUAGCCGGGGCUUCUUGGUCAGGUACUGUCAUUUUCUUCCCUGCUGAUAGAACUUUACAUACCGAAAUAUUUCUUCGUUCACGCGGCGUCGCUGCAUCAGGGUUCCCCCCAUUGUGCAAUAUCCCCCACCUGCUGCCUCCCGCAGGAGUCUGGGCCGUGUCUCAGUCCCAAUGUGGCCGGCCGCCCUCUCAGGCCGGCUACUGAUCGCAGCCUUGGUGGGCCGUUACCCCGCCAACAAGCUAAUCAGACGCGGGCCCAUCCCGUACUGCCGGAGCUUUCCCCGCAGGGCCAUGCGGCCCCGCGGGAAUAUGCGGUAUUAGCAGCCGUUUCCGGCUGUUGUCCCCCGGUACGGGGCAGGUUGCCCACGCGUUGCUCACCCGUCCGCCACUCAGUCCCCCGCGGCUUUCCCCCGGAGGGGUCCGCCGCAGGCGCUUCGUUCGACUUGCAUGUGUUAGGCACGCCGCCAGCGUUCAUCCUGAGCCAGGAUCAAACUCU